CUCCGCCAUGGGGUGAGACCCCUGCCCAGCCACCUACCAUCAGGGUGACCCCGGAGCCGCCCAGGGAUCGAGCCAGCAGCCGGGUGAGAGGCACUGAGAGCCAGGUCAGAGCCACGGCUCCGGCUCUGCUCCAGGAGGCAGGCGAAGGACCUCUGCAUCAGCCCCAGCAGGGCCGGGGAUGCUGCGUGGGUCUCACCCUGUGGAGAUGCCAGAAUGGAGCCUCCUGCGAGUCGCCGGCGUCAAACACGGCGCUGAACCCGAAGGUGGCGUCUUGCCGGGCUGCACUCACCUGGGCACGGGGACAGCGGGGGGCUCAGGGGGGGCCGCAGCCCUCCCACGGCCGGUCCCCCGCAGGGAGGUGGCACUUACAU